rnacentral:rRNA from 1 species
CACAUGCAAGUCGAGGGCAGCAUGGGUAGCAAUACUCAGAUGGCGACCGGCGCACGGGUGAGUAACACGUAUCCAACCUGCCGCUUACUCGGGGAUAGCCUUUCGAAAGAAAGAUUAAUACCCGAUGGUAUAAGAGUUCGCAUGUUCUCUUUAUUAAAGAAUUUCGGUAAGCGAUGGGGAUGCGUUCCAUUAGAUAGUUGGCGGGGUAACGGCCCACCAAGUCUACGAUGGAUAGGGGUUCUGAGAGGAAGGUCCCCCACAUUGGAACUGAGACACGGUCCAAACUCCUACGGGAGGCAGCAGUGAGGAAUAUUGGUCAAUGGACGAGAGUCUGAACCAGCCAAGUAAGCAUGAAGGAUGACUGCCCUAUGGGUUGUAAACUUCUUUUAUAAGGGAAUAAAGUGAGGGACGUGUCCCUUUUUGUAUGUACCUUAUGAAUAAGGAUCGGCUAACUCCGUGCCAGCCGCCGC